CCUACGGGAAGGCAGCAGUAGGGAAUCUUCCGCAAUGGGCGAAAGCCUGACGGAGCAACGCCGCGUGAGUGAUGAAGGUCUUCGGAUCGUAAAACUCUGUUAUUAGGGAAGAACAUACGUGUAAGUAACUGUGCACGUCUUGACGGUACCUAAUCAGAAAGCCACGGCUAACUACGUGCCAGCAGCCGCGGUAAUACGUAGGUGGCAAGCGUUAUCCGGAAUUAUUGGGCGUAAAGCGCGCGUAGGCGGUUUUUUAAGUCUGAUGUGAAAGCCCACGGCUCAACCGUGGAGGGUCAUUGGAAACUGGAAAACUUGAGUGCAGAAGAGGAAAGUGGAAUUCCAUGUGUAGCGGUGAAAUGCGCAGAGAUAUGGAGGAACACCAGUGGCGAAGGCGACUUUCUGGUCUGUAACUGACGCUGAUGUGCGAAAGCGUGGGGAUCAAACAGGAUUAGAUACCCUGGUAGUCCACGCCGUAAACGAUGAGUGCUAAGUGUUAGGGGGUUUCCGCCCCUUAGUGCUGCAGCUAACGCAUUAAGCACUCCGCCUGGGGAGUACGACCGCAAGGUUGAAACUCAAAAAAAAUUGACGG
rnacentral:rRNA from 2 species